CUGUAUGUUAACUGUUGUAUAUUUUCAUGUGUUUUUAUAUUCUAUGAAUGCCGAGUUGCAUUCUCCGAAAUAUACGCAGUAAUAAAUUAUAAUUUCACGUCGUUAGACCCCACUUUCUAUCUUUUAAUAAGAACGUGGUUUGCAAAGGAGGAGCCAUCUACUCAACUCAGCCAUAUGUUAUUUUUAUCAACAAACAGUGUUUCGUAUUAUAAAGUAAUUUACAAUGGAUCAUUCCAGAAAACAUC